GGAGGUGGAUAGGCCCCCAAGGAAAGAUCCCUGGGCACUGUGUCCUUGCGUUUCUGGAUCAGCCCAGACAAAGGCCCUGCAGUGGAAGGGAGCCAGGUGUGCCCUGGUGAAGAGGAGGAAGAAGAGGUGGGGUAGGUCCCCAAUGGAGGUGGCCACCUAGCAAAGCCAAGGUCAUCCACGUUUGACAGAUGGAAAAUGAAGGGAAGCAGCUCAUCCAAGGAGCACACCCCUGGCAGAGCUGGGACCAAGAUCAGGACCUUGGUGUCCAGCCUCUCUUCCUGGUCCUGACCACUUCCCAAGUGCUACUUCCAGUGAAUGUCAUGGCUAUAGUGGGGAAGACUGGUUAGAUUUCCUCUCCUCAGGCCUUGGCCCUCCUUCCAGGUUCCUGAGCCAGACCUCUGCUUUUCCAUGAUGCCCUCUUUAGCCUGGCCUGGGGAGGCCAGGAAGAGCCCAGCCUGCAGGUGAUCCAGCUCUUACAUAGAGGCCUCAGGUGGGGUCAGCCCCUGCCAAGCCCCAGAUGUCCUGGGCAGAUGCCCACUCAGGUCACCACCAGCAAAUGAACUCCAGAGAACAGCAACCACCCUCACUAGCAAGCCGACACCAGCAACCCCGCACACCAGCAACCCCUCACACCAGCAGCCCCGCACACCAGCAGCCCCGCACACCAGCAGCCCCGCGCACCGACAGCCCCACAUACCAGCAACCCCGCACACCAGCAACCCUGCAUACCAGCAACCCCGAACACCAGCAACCUCAGGAAGAAGGCAGUGGGCAUUUGAGUUCUCAACGAGGGCAAUUCCAGGACUAUUGUGGCUUUUUGGAGCCCACAGGAGCUUUGGUGCUUGUUGGACCCAGAUUCCCGUUCUGACUUUGCCACCUGCCACCUGCCCCCUGCACAACCUUGGGCAAGUCUGGACACCACGUCAGAACCUCGGUUUCCUCAUCUGCAAAAUGGGCUUUCUAUGCCCAUCUCCCAGGAAGAUGAGGAUUAAGGGGGACCCCUUUGGAUAGUUGCCUGAAGAGCGAGGGCCCCUAUUUAUGUCAGGUAUUGAGCUCAGCACCAGCAAAAGAGGCAGUGCAGAGCCCAGCCUCACAUCGCUCACUCCAGGGUCCUGAUAUUUCCUAUCAGUGUGAUCCAGGAUUGAGUUCCUGACUCGCUGCCUUCAUCUGCGCCGUGCCCUCUGCUUACUGUGCCCACACCAUGCCAGUUUUCCAGGCUGUCGCUGGCCCUUGGCCUGUUUCUGCACCCUCCAGGCUGACCUGUCCUAACGUGGUCCUAGCCUUCUCCUUCUCUUUGGCGGCAGUCAUUGGUGCCACACAGACAGCCCAUCUGAAGCUCACGUUCAAACAGCCAGCCACCCACGGGCUCAGGAGGCUGCAGGAGCCAAGUGGAUGCCCCUCCCCUUGCACCCCUCGCAGUGAGGGAGGGCGGGCAGGACUGGGCGGCCCGCACAGGAAAGCGGCUGUUUACACUGCAAACAGAGGCUGAGCAGAGAUUGUGCCGUGGAUUCAGCUUCAGGGAGGUGCAGACGCCCAGGUGCCAGGCCUGGUGUUUGCCCCCAGCCCCGGGGGCUGUUGCUGCCACCCGCAGCGCGGAGCAUUGCUGAGCUGGAUUUGCCCUCGGCGCUCAGCCUGUGCUGUGUGCGGUGGCGGCGGAGUGUGCUGGCUACAGGGUAGUAGCUGGCGCCUGCUCACCCUCCGCAGGCUGCUUCCUCCUGCCUGGGAUUCGGCCGCCAUGGCGCCUGCUGCUGAGUAGCUUGGCUCUGAACAGAGAUGCAGGACCGACCCUGCUUCCUGCCCCAGGCCCUGCCCCAGCCAAGGACCCGCCACCCCCAGCCUCAUCAGCUCCCCACUCUCUCUGGCGUCACCUCCCUGCCUUCCGCCUCACCCCAGACUAAUCACUGUGAGCGCCACCCUGGCAAAGGCCAUUCCAGCCCUCCCUCAUCCCUUUGACAAGCAGCCCUGGUUUGGGCCUCUGUGCUCCUGCCAGUGGUGCAGGCGAAGGAGCAGCUCCUGCCCAGGGGGAGAAACAGAAGCCUGGAAGAGAGGCCAGGACUGCAGACUCUGAGCCAGGCGCCCAGCGCCACCACUCAGCGGCCGGGUGCUGACCUCCGGCAAUCACGGUGCAGCUCCGGGCCCCCUUUCCCCUGCAUCUGUGAAAUGGGAAGAUGCCAAUCCCAGUCUCCAUCUUGCAGGGCCAGCGUGAGGAUUAAAUAAGCCAGGGCAGUAGAGCAUUUAGAAAAGCACCCAGCCGGGCACGGUGGCUCACGCCUGUAAUCCCAGCACUUUGGGAGGCCGAGACGGGCGGAUCACGAGGUCAGGAGAUCGAAACCAUCCUGGCUAACACAGUGAAACCCCGUCUCUACUAAAAAUACAAAAAAAAAAAUUAGCCGGGCGUGGUGGCGGGCGCCUGUAGUCCCAGCUACUCAGGAGGCUGAGGCAGGAGAAUGGCGUGAACCAGGGAGGCAGAGCUUGCAGUGAGCCGAAAUCGUGCUGCUGCACUCCAGCCUGGGCGACAGAGAGAGACUCUGUCUCAAAAAAAGAAAAAAAAAAAAA
rnacentral:lncRNA from 1 species